UGCCUGUGAUGAGUUGCCAUGCUAAUACUGACACUGCAGGUGGCUUCUGCGAUCGCAGUGACUGAGUGUAAAUGACUUAACUGAGGCGG